rnacentral:rRNA from 1 species
UAGUGGCGAACGGGUGAGUAACACGUGGGCAAUCUGCCCUGCACUCUGGGACAAGCCCUGGAAACGGGGUCUAAUACCGGAUAUGAGAGCCAUGGGCAUCCAUGGUUCUGUAAAGCUCCGGCGGUGCAGGAUGAGCCCGCGGCCUAUCAGCUUGUUGGUGAGGUAACGGCUCACCAAGGCGACGACGGGUAGCCGGCCUGAGAGGGCGACCGGCCACACUGGGACUGAGACACGGCCCAGACUCCUACGGGAGGCAGCAGUGGGGAAUAUUGCACAAUGGGCGCAAGCCUGAUGCAGCGACGCCGCGUGAGGGAUGACGGCCUUCGGGUUGUAAACCUCUUUCAGCAGGGAAGAAGCGAAAGUGACGGUACCUGCAGAAGAAGCGCCGGCUAACUACGUGCCAGCAGCCGCGGUAAUACGUAGGGCGCAAGCGUUGUCCGGAAUUAUUGGGCGUAAAGAGCUCGUAGGCGGCUUGUCACGUCGGAUGUGAAAGCCCGGGGCUUAACCCCGGGUCUGCAUUCGAUACGGGCAGGCUAGAGUUCGGUAGGGGAGAUCGGAAUUCCU